ACGAACGCUGGCGGCAGGCUUAACACAUGCAAGUCGAGCGCCCCGCAAGGGGAGCGGCAGACGGGUGAGUAACGCGUGGGAAUCUACCCAGCUCUACGGAAUAACCCAGGGAAACUUGGACUAAUACCGUAUACGUCCUCCGGGAGAAAGAUUUAUCGGAGUUGGAUGAGCCCGCGUUGGAUUAGCUAGUUGGUGGGGUAAUGGCCUACCAAGGCGACGAUCCAUAGCUGGUCUGAGAGGAUGAUCAGCCACACUGGGACUGAGACACGGCCCAGACUCCUACGGGAGGCAGCAGUGGGGAAUAUUGGACAAUGGGCGAAAGCCUGAUCCAGCCAUGCCGCGUGAGUGAUGAAGGCCCUAGGGUUGUAAAGCUCUUUCACCGGUGAAGAUAAUGACGGUAACCGGAGAAGAAGCCCCGGCUAACUUCGUG
rnacentral:rRNA from 1 species